rnacentral:rRNA from 1 species
AAGUCGUAACAAGGUUUCCGUAGGUGAACCUGCGGAAGGAUCAUUACUAGUGCUUCGGCAUUCUUAAUAAACCUUGCACCAUUUGUGAACCAAUAUUAUGGGAACCAGCAUAAUGACGACGAGUUCUUAGGGAUUCGCUAGAGUGCUGGGGAACAUUUUAUUACAACAUAUACCACUAUGCCUUGAAAUCCGUCUGCUUACUGGGCUUGCUCAGUGAGUGGACACUAGGGUUAAUAUACAACUUUUAGCAACGGAUCUCUAGGCUCUCGCAGCGAUGAAGAACGCAGCGAACCGCGAAAUGUAAUGUGAAUUGCAGAGUUCGUGAAUCAUCAAAUCUUUGAACGCAUAUUGCACUGCUUCGGCAGUAUGUCUGUUUGAGUAUCAAACCUACUCUCAGGGAAUGACUCUUGGAAAGGAUGCGGAGUGUUAAAACUUCAAGUCCGGAAAGGGAAUAUGUCCUUGGAUUUGAGUAUUUGCAUGCCUUGGUGUGCAUUACUUGAAACGUUGCUUGCUAUUCCUAGUGAAAAUCAAAUGCAUGGUCUUUGGACCCUGCAGCAGAGCACAUCUCAUUGAAGAACAUUCUUGCAAUGACUAAAGCGUGUGCUUUGUCCGGAGUAGGCUUAAACCUCUCCAAACAACGAUCUCAAAUCAGACAAGACUACCCGCUGAACUUAAGCAUAUUAAUAAGCGGAGGAAAAGAAACCAACAGGGAUUCCCCCAGUAAUGGCGAAUGAAGCGGGAAUAGCUCAAAUUUUUAAUCUCUUCGGAGAGUUGUAAUUUGAAGAGGUGACAUCGUCGUCUUUGCCUGGUCAAAGUCUCCUGGAAAGGAGCAACAUGGAGGGUGAAAUUCCCGUAUCCGACCAGGUUGAAGGCGCUCUUGAUUCAUUCUCAAAGAGUCGGGUUGCUUGAGACUGCAGCCCAAAGUGGGUGGUAUAUUCCAUCUAAAGCUAAAUAUUGGCGAGAGACCGAUAGCAAACAAGUACCGUGAGGGAAAGAUGAAAAGAACUUUGAAAAGAGAGUUAAAAGUACGUGAAAUUGCUAAAAGGGAAACGUUUGGGGCCAGUGUUGUCUCUGGGAAAUCAGCUGAUCCUUUAACGAGGGUCGGUGCAAUUUCUUAGGGGCAGGUCAACAUCAGUUGUUGGCGGCGUAAAAAAUCUUAGUGAAUUCUUCUGUCUUUGGGCAGUGUUGUAGCCUGGGAUAAUGCGUUGCUGGCGACUGAGGACUGCUUAUACAGGAUGUUGACUAAAUGGCAUCAAACGAC